rnacentral:rRNA from 1 species
AUGCAGUCGAACGAUGAAGCCCUUCGGGGUGGAUUAGUGGCGAACGGGUGAGUAACACGUGGGCAAUCUGCCCUUCACUCUGGGACAAGCCCUGGAAACGGGGUCUAAUACCGGAUAACACUUCCGUCCUCCUGGACGGUGGUUAAAAGCUCCGGCGGUGAAGGAUGAGCCCGCGGCCUAUCAGCUUGUUGGUGAGGUAAUGGCUCACCAAGGCGACGACGGGUAGCCGGCCUGAGAGGGCGACCGGCCACACUGGGACUGAGACACGGCCCAGACUCCUACGGGAGGCAGCAGUGGGGAAUAUUGCACAAUGGGCGAAAGCCUGAUGCAGCGACGCCGCGUGAGGGAUGACGGCCUUCGGGUUGUAAACCUCUUUCAGCAGGGAAGAAGCGAAAGUGACGGUACCUGCAGAAGAAGCGCCGGCUAACUACGUGCCAGCAGCCGCGGUAAUACGUAGGGCGCAAGCGUUGUCCGGAAUUAUUGGGCGUAAAGAGCUCGUAGGCGGCUUGUCACGUCGGUUGUGAAAGCCCGGGGCUUAACCCCGGGUCUGCAGUCGAUACGGGCAGGCUAGAGUGUGGUAGGGGAGAUCGGAAUUCCUGGUGUAGCGGUGAAAUGCGCAGAUAUCAGGAGGAACACCGGUGGCGAAGGCGGAUCUCUGGGCCAUUACUGACGCUGAGGAGCGAAAGCGUGGGGAGCGAACAGGAUUAGAUACCCUGGUAGUCCACGCCGUAAACGGUGGGAACUAGGUGUUGGCGACAUUCCACGUCGUCGGUGCCGCAGCUAACGCAUUAAGUUCCCCGCCUGGGGAGUACGGCCGCAAGGCUAA